AUUGAACGCUGGCGGCAUGCUUUACACAUGCAAGUCGGACGAGUGGCGGACGGGUGAGUAAUGUCUGGGAACGUGCCUAGUAGUGGGGGAUAACCAAUCGAAAGGUUAGCUAAUACCGCAUAUUAUUCGAGCGGCCGAUAUGGGAUUAGCUAGUUGGUGGGGUAAAGGCCCACCAAGGCGACGAUCAGUAGCGGGUCUGAGAGGAUGAUCAGCCACACUGGGACUGAGACACGGUCCAGACGCCUACGGGAGGCAGCAGGGGGGAAUUUUGGACAAUGGGCGCAAGCCUGAUGCAGCCAUGCCGCGUGUGUGAAGAAGGCCUUCGGGUUGUAAAGGACUUUUGGUAGGGAGGCGGUACCUGAAGAAGAAGCACCGGCUAACUACGUGCCAGCAGCCGCGGUAAUAC
rnacentral:rRNA from 1 species